GGGAUAAGGUAUUUUUUAAACAUGGGAUAUACAAAUUGCUAUCACGCUGGCAAGAAGUCAUAAAUAAUGAUGGAAAUUAUAUUAUUCAAUAAAGUUUAUUCAAGACAAAAUUUGAAUCAAAAGAUUUUGAAAAUACACUGAAAUAUGCAGUCAUUCAUUCGGUAAUACUCAAUAUAUCGCAAGUAAUACUGAACUAGGUCUCAUCACAUGAAGAUUGGUGCAUCUGAAGACCUGCCAGCUAUGACUCUAAUCUAAAAUAAGCGAUAUUGGAAUGAAAUGUUACUUACCGAAAAUUCAGGUCCUAACACUAAUUGGAUGAGGGUAAGUCCUUACUUACGGAUAGCUAGGUUGUCGCAACAUCGGCAGCUUCAUACAUUAUUUUUUGAUACAAUCGAUCUCCUAUUCAAAAUUUUGAGCAAUAAAACGAAGUCCACAGUAGGACUUUAAAUCGUGCUCACGAGUGUUAAAAUAAUUUUCUACUUUAAAAGCCGCGUUCCCGGAAUGAUAUGAGCUUAUCGAGAAUUCAGGAUUCCAACGUUAUCUAGUCGGUCUCGACCGCUUACGGAUAACAGGACCGUCGCAACAUCGAUAGCUUCAUGUACUAUUUUUUAACAAGACCAAUCUUCUAAUCGAACUUUUAAAUAAUAAAACUAGUCUACGAUGGAACUAAUUCCGACGCGUACAUGGAUAUUUUACUCAUCCCGUCCAUUGCGAAGAAAAGAAGAGAAAAGGAGAGAAACAGAAAGAAAGAAGGAGAAGAAAAAAAACUGAAAGAAACAAAUCUGCCAAAAGGUUCUACCAAAAAAAAACCAGAAUAAUUAAUCUAGAAUAAUUGGUUAAACCAUUAUACGCGUUUCAAUAAAUAGAGAUGACUGUUUAUUUGCCGAAAAUA